rnacentral:rRNA from 1 species
AGUGAACGCUGGCGGUAGGCCUAACACAUGCAAGUCGAACGGCAGCACAGUAAGAGCUUGCUCUUACGGGUGGCGAGUGGCGGACGGGUGAGGAAUACAUCGGAAUCUACUUUUUCGUGGGGGAUAACGUAGGGAAACUUACGCUAAUACCGCAUACGACCUACGGGUGAAAGCAGGGGAUCUUCGGACCUUGCGCGAUUGAAUGAGCCGAUGUCGGGUUAGCUAGUUGGCGGGGUAAAGGCCCACCAAGGCGACGAUCCGUAGCUGGUCUGAGAGGAUGAUCAGCCACACUGGAACUGAGACACGGUCCAGACUCCUACGGGAGGCAGCAGUGGGGAAUAUUGGGCAAUGGGCGCAAGCCUGAUCCAGCCAUACCGCGUGGGUGAAGAAGGCCUUCGGGUUGUAAAGCCCUUUUGUUGGGAAAGAAAAGCAGCAGGUUAAUACCCCGCUGUUCUGACGGUACCCAAAGAAUAAGCACCGGCUAACUUCGUG